rnacentral:rRNA from 1 species
UACGUAGGGUGCGAGCGUUGUCCGGAAUUAUUGGGCGUAAAGGGCUCGUAGGCGGUUUGUCGCGUCGGGAGUGAAAACCCAGGGCUUAACUCUGGGCUUGCUUUCGAUACGGGCAGACUAGAGGUAUGCAGGGGAGAACGGAAUUCCUGGUGUAGCGGUGAAAUGCGCAGAUAUCAGGAGGAACACCGGUGGCGAAGGCGGUUCUCUGGGCAUUACCUCACGCUGAGGAGCGAAAGUGUGGGGAGCGAACAGG